UGUGUAGGCGGUUGUUUAAGUUUGGUGUGAAAUCUCCCGGCUCAACUGGGAGGGUGCGCCGAAUACUGAAUGACUUCGAGUGCGGGAGAGGAAAGUGGAAUUCCUGGUGUAGCGGUGAAAUGCGUAGAUAUCAGGAGGAACACCGGUGGUGUAGACGGCUUUCUGGACCGUAACUGACGCUGAAACACGAAAGCGUGGGUAGCAAACAGGAUUAGAUACCCUGGUAGUCCACGCCCUAAACGAUGCAUAUUUGGUGUGGGCAGUUCAUUCUGUCCGUGCCGGAGCUAACGCGUUAAAUAUGCCGCCUGGGGAGUACAGUCGCAAGGCUGAA
rnacentral:rRNA from 1 species